rnacentral:rRNA from 1 species
GAUGAACGCUGGCGGCGUGCUUAACACAUGCAAGUCGAGCGAGUGAGUUCUUUGGAACGAUCUAGCGGCGGACGGGUGAGUAACACGUGGGCAACCUGCCUCAUAGAGGGGAAUAGCCUCCCGAAAGGGAGAUUAAUACCGCAUAAAAUUAUCGAGUGGCAUCACAUGAUAAUCAAAGGAGCAAUCCGCUAUGAGAUGGGCCCGCGGCGCAUUAGCUAGUUGGUGAGGUAACGGCUCACCAAGGCGACGAUGCGUAGCCGACCUGAGAGGGUGAUCGGCCACAUUGGGACUGAGACACGGCCCAGACUCCUACGGGAGGCAGCAGUGGGGAAUAUUGCACAAUGGGGGAAACCCUGAUGCAGCAACGCCGCGUGAGUGAUGAAGGUCUUCGGAUUGUAAAGCUCUGUCUUUGGGGACGAUAAUGACGGUACCCAAGGAGGAAGCCACGGCUAACUACGUGCCAGCCGCCGCGGUAA